AGUAAUUCCUAUUUUUAUGCACAGUGAUUCUCAAUUGGUGAGAAAAUUAUGAUCUCAUAAUCUCUUUUCCUUGUACUUGCUGAAUGAUUAGCCUCAUUUGCUGUGUGACUUCCACUUCACGGUUGUGAAAUGAUGGCUCUCCCUGACUCUGGCUGAGCAUGUCGUCUUGAUGGCUUUGACCUUUUCCACAAAAACAAGGGAGAUG
rnacentral:lncRNA from 1 species